AGCGCGACCUCAGAUCAGACGAGACGACCCGCUGAACUUAAGCGUAUUACUAAGCGGAGGAAAAGAAACUAACCAGGAUUCCCCCAGUAGCUGCGAGCGAAGAGGGAAGAGCCCAGCGCCGAAUCCCCCGUCCCCUCGCGGG
rnacentral:rRNA from 1 species